UCUAAUAUGGCAGAUUAGUGCAAUAAAUUUAAGCUUUAUAUAUAAAGAAUACUCUUUUAUUAGAA
rnacentral:tRNA from 1 species